rnacentral:lncRNA from 1 species
GACGCUUACAACCAACUAUGGACCAAACCCGAAUCUACAAUAAAACAAUCAAAAAACAUUAAAAACUCUCCAUUGGUCCCAAGACAUAUUCACCUCUUUUGCACGAUGCUUUACCCAUAAUAAGCUUUUCACUUUGAUUUCCUCCACAACAUCCGCAAUGGAUUUAGAUUUCCCAGUGAACAUUAGAUCGUUCUUGAGAUUCUAUAUACUCCAUAAAGUCACUAGACAUAUCGCGUGAAAAGCCUUCUUCUUCUUUUCCGAACCACCGAACCUCUGGUGAGCAUCAAGAAUGUCCUGUAAACUGAAAGCGAUAACUGGGUCAGUUUUACACCACUGGAAAACCACUAGCCAAACAAUUUGAGCGAAUUCACACGAGACGAGCAAGUGAUCGCUGGUUUCGCAGUAUCCUCUACACAGAAUACACUUCAAAAAUCUUAUUAUUCCUGUAAAUCCAUAUCUUCCAAAUUGUAGUAAACAAACUAGCUUCUACCAUCCUCCUCCAGUCACAAAGCCUCAACACCUGUACUCAAUAGUUCCAGACCGCUUAACUUAAGUUAUGCCUACACAUUCCACCAAAUAGCUUUAGCCCAAACACAAGAAAAGAAAAUAUGGUUAUGAUCCUCAUCUUCUAAACCACAACUACUACAUACAACAUCUCCAACUUUAACUCCCCUAUGACUUAAUCCCACCUUUGAUGGAAUUCUUCCAAAAAAAAAAAAAAAAAACUCUCCAACAAAACAAUUUUACCUUUAGAGGAAUCCAAUUGUUCCAUCUAAAAGCCACACCAUUCGGAUCUUCGUUUCAUUUCUUCAUAACUUGAGACCUAAGUUCCGAGACCGAGGAACUAUCUUUUUUAAAACUGUACCAAAUCCAUCUAUCGUCUUUAAACACAAGAAUAUUCUCAACAUCUAGCCCUAUCUCUUUAAACAUAUUUAGAACCGAAACAAUAUAUUUCCAAAUUCUCUUAAUUUGUGAAUUAAUUGUUGAUCAGUUUUGUAUAAAUAUAAUGGAAAACAUGUAGAAAUACCUGUAACAACAGACAUGCCAGUAAAGAAUCCAGUCAGGGAUGCAGCCAUAGAGUUUGACAUAGUUGUCAGCUUGAUCUGGUUCCUCCUUAGGGUAGAUGGAGAGGGAUGA